rnacentral:sRNA from 1 species
CUGACAGCCCUGCUGGCUAAAAUCUGCUGUUUAUCCACAAGAGCGGGAACGGUUUGUGCCGCCGAAGCUUUCUUAUUCUCAUCACCUACAUGCUGCUAGUCUGCUUUGAAGAAGCACCUCUAGGGGUGAAAGCAUACUUCUGUCUCUAAGCUAAAUUCAAUCCCUGAUCUCU